rnacentral:rRNA from 1 species
GUGGAACGAGCGGCGGACGGGUGAGUAACACGUGGGCAACCUACCUGUGAGACGGGGAUAACUCCGGGAAACCGGGGCUAAUACCGGAUAACGCAUCGAACCGCAUGGUUCGAUGAUCAAAGAUGGCUUCUUGCUAUCACUCACAGAUGGGCCCGCGGCGCAUUAGUUAGUUGGUGAGGUAACGGCUCACCAAGGCGACGAUGCGUAGCCGACCUGAGAGGGUGAUCGGCCACACUGGGACUGAGACACGGCCCAGACUCCUACGGGAGGCAGCAGUAGGGAAUCAUCCGCAAUGGACGCAAGUCUGACGGUGCAACGCCGCGUGAGCGAUGAAGGUCUUCGGAUCGUAAAGCUCUGUUGUGAGGGAAGAACAAGUGCCGUUCGAAUAGGGCGGCACCUUGACGGUACCUCACCAGAAAGCCCCGGCUAACUACGUGCCAGCAGCCGCGGUAAUACGUAGGGGGCAAGCGUUGUCCGGAAUUAUUGGGCGUAAAGCGCGCGCAGGCGGUUCCUUAAGUCUGAUGUGAAAGGCCACAGCUCAACUGUGGAGGGCCAUUGGAAACUGGGGAACUUGAGGACAGAAGAGGAGAGCGGAAUUCCACGUGUAGCGGUGAAAUGCGUAGAUAUGUGGAGGAACACCAGUGGCGAAGGCGGCUCUCUGGUCUGUAACUGACGCUGAGGCGCGAAAGCAUGGGUAGCGAACAGGAUUAGAUACCCUGGUAGUCCAUGCCGUAAACGUUGAGUGCUAGGUGUUAGGGGGUCCAACCCUUAGUGCUGCAGUUAACGCAAUAAGCACUCCGCCUGGGGAGUACGGCCGCAAGGCUGAAACUCAAAGGAAUUGACGGGGGCCUGCACAAGCGGUGGAGCAUGUGGUUUAAUUCGACGCAACGCGAAGAACCUUACCAGGUCUUGACAUCUUCGGACAGCCCAAGAGAUUGGGUCUUCCCUUCGGGGACCGAAUGACAGGUGGUGCAUGGUUGUCGUCAGCUCGUGUCGUGAGAUGUUGGGUUAAGUCCCGUAACGAGCGCAACCCCUGAUCUUAGUUGCCAGCAUUCAGUUGGGCACUCUAGGAUGACUGCCGGUGACAAACCGGAGGAAGGCGGGGAUGACGUCAAAUCAUCAUGCCCCUUAUGACCUGGGCUACACACGUGCUACAAUGGAUGGUACAAAGGGAAGCCAAACCGCGAGGUCGAGCUAAUCCCAUAAAGCCAUUCUCAGUUCGGAUUGUAGGCUGCAACUCGCCUGCAUGAAGCCGGAAUCGCUAGUAAUCGCGGAUCAGAAUGCCGCGGUGAAUACGUU